rnacentral:rRNA from 1 species
UUAUAAAAACACAACUAUCUGCCUUAUGAAAAAAUAUAUAGGAGUGAGAUUUGCCCAAUGCCAAAUUAAUAAGUAAUAAUAAUAGGUAACUGUUUCUUUACAAAAAAUUGGUUAAUAGCGGUCUUAACUAUGAGGAUCCUAAGGUAGCAAAAUAAAUUGGCCAUUAAAUGUGGUCCAGUAUCAAUAAUUUAACGAUGGCUUCACUGUCUCUACAACUUGCUCAGUGAAAUUGAAUUACCCGUGCAGAUGCGGGUUACCUCAAAGAGGACGGGAAGACCCUAUGCAGCUUCUACUAA